AGAAAAUGAGGACAGUAGCAAAUGGGUUGUCUAAACCCACAUCCAAUAGUAUGACUUUACUCUUAGUACUAAUUUUCUGGCUUUCCCUUUGCUCUGCAUCGCAGCCAAGACCCUAGUGCCCUGUCUGCCUGGGGACCCACCAGCUGCCCUGGGCACCCGUCUCGGGCAGCGGGCGGGGGGUUGGAUGCAGAGGCAGCACCCAGGGACCAGCUGCGGCUCUCACCCCCACACCCAUCCAGCUCCUCUGCCUGCUAAUUGUGGGGUUGCAGGACGUCAGCUGCCUCCCAGGCCCCGGGCGGGCUCCUACCAAUGGAGCAGGAGCUCCCUCCACAGCAUCCCACUCCUCCUCCAGCCCCACAGACACAGCUGCGCUGGGGGUGGUCCCCACGGUGCUGGGACCCCCACCCCUCCGGGAGGCAGCCUGAAAAGGUGUCAGUAUGAAGACUUCCUCCAUAGCUUUCCAAUCUCCCAGGCUUCCCCCCGUCAGAGAGGAGCAUGGGCUCUCCACCACUCAGGAACAGCCAUGGCUCCCCAUUGCUGGACAAGUCAAGUUUCACCCCACAUCGUGGCCCGUGGGUGCUCCAGACUCACCCUUAAGCACGUUCCUCAAGUGGCCUUGGUCUCAGGUCCCUGUUGCUCCAGGAUAAAGUCCAGACGGGCCCCUUGCUACGGCCUCUGCCUCCCCCACGGGCUUCCCCAGCAUCCUCUCUCUACUUGCCCUCGGCCAGAGCACCAGUGGCCUGGGCAACAGCUCCACAGUGACCGGGGCAUGCCUCAUCUCUCACAUCUGGACUUGAGCUCCGAGGGCAGGGGUCCUGCCUGUGGGAAUCUGGAUCUCCCGGGAAAGGACAGAGAGCAUCAUUGAGAGCUCAUGCUCACCCCUACCCCCACCCCUGCCCCAUGGUGUCAUUUAACUUUCAUCUUCACAACAACCCAGGACGUGGACAACGGCAAGAUGAGGACACCCAGGCCCAGAGAGGGAAGGGACCUGCCAGGAGAUGAUGGGGGACCGGGAUUCAAUCUAGGCAACUUCAAAGGCCAGGUGUUCUCAGCCACGGCCCUCGGCCCAGGUCUGAGCCCGGUUUCAGGGCAGGGAACUGGUCGGAGUCAGGAACCUCAUUGCCUAGGUGAGGAAACCAAAGUGAAGCCCCUCCGCAGCUUCCUGAGGGCUCACAGCAACUAACUGGCAUGAUCUGAAAGGGGCCACCGCUCCCCCGGGUGGAUGCUGGUCACCAGGGCACCAGCGGCUCCUCGUGUACUUUGAAUGUAACUCACGCCCCUUCCCGGCCUCCGGGGCCCCUGGAGAUCCGGCUGGCGUCUCUUCACAGCUUCGUCCCCACCGUCUCCCCUCGCUCACUGUCUUCCAGCCCGCUGGCCUCCUUCCUGCUCCAACACCCCAAGCCCGU
rnacentral:lncRNA from 1 species